CACUCAUAUCAUUUUGAAACACCGGUUUCCGUACGAUCAACGAAGUUAAGCAUCGUCGAGCCCCAUCUGUACCGAGAUGGGUGACUAUUUGAAAAUACUAUGUGCUGUAAG